GUGCUUGCUUUGGAAGCACAUUUACUAAAAUUGGAAUGAUACAGAGAAGAUUAGCAUGGCCCUUGUGCAAGGAUGACAGGCAAAUUCAUGAAGCGUUCCAUAUUUUU